UAGAACGUGAGGGAGAAGAUGCAUAGCUGCCAAUUAGCUGUACCUGUUGAAGGGCAAUAAGGCAUAGUCUUGCUCCUAAGUGGCAUCACCAACCAUUUUAUUUUGCCUGAGACUGCCCUAGUUUUAGUGCUGAAAGUCCAAUAUCCUGUGCAAACCAGGGCUAGGGUCACCUUAGUCAUAAGAUCUGCUGGGAGUUCCUACAGAGGAGGCAGGAGGGAGACAUGUUGGUCCAGAGCAAAGGAAAGUGUGAACUAGUGGGAAGAGAAAGGACAGCUCUUUGUCAGGAGGAGCCCAAAGUUCACCUGGUCUGGGCCAGCCAAUAUCAAUGUCAAAGAGGUGUACAGAGUUCAUUGACCUCCCCACCUUCCAGGGACACUGGGAUCUGGGGCCUACGUGAAAGAAUAUGUCUGAGCUCGGAGCUGAAGAUGGCCACUUCGACCCUGACCCUGAGGCACAAGUUACUAAGACAAUGUCCUGUGUCACGUUCCUUGUCUGGGCUGGCCACCCCGACAGGCACCUGCCUGGACUAUAGAAACAUCCCAUGUAUGGGAACAAAAAGAUAAAAACAUCCCAUCCGUGGGAACAAGAAGAAGUAACUCAAAGUAUCUAAAUGUCUGAAACACUGAGUCAGAACCCAGAAAACAGUAGAAUAAAAGGGAGUCACAGGCAUAGAACAAUUGGGGGUCUCACCGAGGAGAGGACGCUUUGCCUCAGACCCGGACAAUCAGCACUCCUGCCCGCCACACAAACUGUUGGGACUUCCCCGGCUGAUUGUGAUGUGGAUGUUGAACAUGUUGGUACCUAUCUGUUGAGUCAGCACUAAAGUCCACAUGAACAACCAUCCAAACUUUGAGUGAGGGAUUAGGGUUCACUCCACAGCGUCUGGCUUCGUUUCAACCCUGAGGACCAAAUUGAGAGAACAACUGGAGCUCACCGGCACUGACUCGCCUUGGUGACUAAUGCAGAACUUGCUCUCCUGAAACCUAGAGACAAUGACAGGUGUGGCUGGAAGAGUGCUUCCUCCAACAGGAGCAAUGAUGGAAACUCUUAUGUCAGUGAGCCUCAUUCUCUGUGCUAAUAACACCCCAUCUGGCCAAAGCUUAACCUUCCUUCAAAGCAGAAGAUCCAGGAUCUGUGAGCCGUAAAAGUGACAGUCCUGUGGUGCCAGGCAGAAAAAAUGCCCAAUGCCAAAAUCCACUUCCGGGGAAGAAAGAGGAGAUGGGGUGAGAACAGCCUGGGCUGACUGUCUGAUGGAAGCAAUGGCUUGAAGUUUUUAGAAAUUGAUGGAACUGUAUGAAGCUUCAGGGUAGCUUCCGUGAAGCUUCAGCCACACAGAAUUAAGUAAAAUCCCAGUAAGAGUGAGUUAACCCUGGUACAGGACAUUUAAUGAGGAGAAGAGCAAAAGAGAAGAACAGAAAUCCACAUGUUAAUCCUCCCUCCAGCCAUCAGACUGUUGCUAAUAGAGAUAAACCAACGGGCCUCAUAGGAAAUGAGGAUAGAAGGUUUUGGGCAAAUCACCCAACAUUCAGGAUAAGCAAGAUUGAUCUUUUCAAGAACCAG
rnacentral:lncRNA from 1 species